rnacentral:lncRNA from 1 species
AUCUCAUCUCCAAACCCUAGUUCAUCUCUCGUAACCAAUCUCCGUCUCGCGACUUCGAUUGGUACUUGUAAGGUUGCUAGUAGUGUUAAUUAUUCUUUGUAGUUGAUGCUAGUUGGAUUACUUGGUGGAAGAGUUUAUGUUCAGAUCUUUUAUGCUACUCAUUACCACUAUGGUCAUGAAUACGAUUAUGCUUUGUGAGUAGUUAC